AGUCUGUGAUGAGAAGUAAAAGGUCUGAUUGCAUUGUGCUCCUCGCCAUACACCCUUCUAGCUCCCAACGGUCUCUUCAUUAUCCCAUCCUGCUCUAGAUGUGCAGUGAGUGGUGGUUGAGACUGCUGACACAUUGGGAAGUCCCCCACACGCACACCUUGUAGAGAACAGCAAGGCGUGGCAAUGGUGGACAUCCAACAUAACCAACCCCUAAGGAGUCUGAAAUGGAUGGAGCAAUAUACAAUGCUUGAUAUGAUUUUUAAACUGAGACU